AGAGUUUGAUCCUGGCUCAGGACGAACGCUGGCGGCGUGCCUAAUACAUGCAAGUCGAACGCUUCUUUUUCCACCGGAGCUUGCUCCAUCGGAAAAAGAGGAGUGGCGAACGGGUGAGUAACACGUGGGUAACCUGCCCAUCAGAAGGGGAUAACACUUGGAAACAGGUGCUAAUACCGUAUAACAAUCGAAACCGCAUGGUUUCGAUUUGAAAGGCGCUUUCGGGUGUCGCUGAUGGAUGGACCCGCGGUGCAUUAGCUAGUUGGUGAGGUAACGGCUCACCAAGGCGACGAUGCAUAGCCGACCUGAGAGGGUGAUCGGCCACAUUGGGACUGAGACACGGCCCAAACUCCUACGGGAGGCAGCAGUAGGGAAUCUUCGGCAAUGGACGAAAGUCUGACCGAGCAACGCCGCGUGAGUGAAGAAGGUUUUCGGAUCGUAAAACUCUGUUGUUAGAGAAGAACAAGGAUGAGAGUAACUGUUCAUCCCUUGACGGUAUCUAACCAGAAAGCCACGGCUAACUACGUGCCAGCAGCCGCGGUAAUACGUAGGUGGCAAGCGUUGUCCGGAUUUAUUGGGCGUAAAGCGAGCGCAGGCGGUUUCUUAAGUCUGAUGUGAAAGCCCCCGGCUCAACCGGGGAGGGUCAUUGGAAACUGGGAGACUUGAGUGCAGAAGAGGAGAGUGGAAUUCCAUGUGUAGCGGUGAAAUGCGUAGAUAUAUGGAGGAACACCAGUGGCGAAGGCGGCUCUCUGGUCUGUAACUGACGCUGAGGCUCGAAAGCGUGGGGAGCAAACAGGAUUAGAUACCCUGGUAGUCCACGCCGUAAACGAUGAGUGCUAAGUGUUGGAGGGUUUCCGCCCUUCAGUGCUGCAGCUAACGCAUUAAGCACUCCGCCUGGGGAGUACGACCGCAAGGUUGAAACUCAAAGGAAUUGACGGGGGCCCGCACAAGCGGUGGAGCAUGUGGUUUAAUUCGAAGCAACGCGAAGAACCUUACCAGGUCUUGACAUCCUUUGACCACUCUAGAGAUAGAGCUUCCCCUUCGGGGGCAAAGUGACAGGUGGUGCAUGGUUGUCGUCAGCUCGUGUCGUGAGAUGUUGGGUUAAGUCCCGCAACGAGCGCAACCCUUAUUGUUAGUUGCCAUCAUUUAGUUGGGCACUCUAGCAAGACUGCCGGUGACAAACCGGAGGAAGGUGGGGAUGACGUCAAAUCAUCAUGCCCCUUAUGACCUGGGCUACACACGUGCUACAAUGGGAAGUACAACGAGUCGCAAAGUCGCGAGGCUAAGCUAAUCUCUUAAAGCUUCUCUCAGUUCGGAUUGUAGGCUGCAACUCGCCUACAUGAAGCCGGAAUCGCUAGUAAUCGCGGAUCAGCACGCCGCGGUGAAUACGUUCCCGGGCCUUGUACACACCGCCCGUCACACCACGAGAGUUUGUAACACCCGAAGUCGGUGAGGUAACCUUUUGGAGCCAGCCGCCUAAGGGGGGAUAGAUGAUUGGGGUGAAGUCGUAACAAGGUAGCCGUAUCGGAAGGUGCGGCUGGAUCACCU
rnacentral:rRNA from 1 species